CCCAUUCCCAUUCCCGGUCCCCUCACCGGACGCUCCGCCCCCCGGCCCUGACGUCACCGAGCAAACCCCGCGCUCCUCCCGCCCACCAAUCCCAGCGCGCGAUCGCUCCUACAUUUGCAUAACCACGCCCAUUGAGGCUGGCCCCGCCCGCCGCCGGGCGCUGUUCGCUCCCAGUUCCCUCCCAGCGCUCCCAGUGAGAGCGGCACCGGCAGGGAAAGCGCUCCCAGUUCCCUCCCAGCGCUCCCAGUGAGAGCGGCACCGGCAGGGAAAGCGCUCCCAGUUCCCUCCCAGCUCUCCCAGUAACAGGGGCACCGGCAGGGAAAGCGCUCCCAGUUCCCUCCCAGCGCUCCCAGUAACAGCGGCACCGGCAGGGAAAGCGCUCCCAGUUCCCUCCCAGCGCUCCCAGUAACAGGGGCACCGGCAGGGAAAGCGCUCCCAGUUCCCUCCCAGCGCUCCCAGUAUCGUUCCCAGUGCAAAGAGGGAGAGAAGGAGGAGCGAGAGGAAGAGGAGGGACAGAGGAGGGAGGAAAGGAGGAGCAGGAGGGAGAGAGGGAGGAGGAGAAAGAGGAAGAGGAGGGACACAGGAGGAGGGAGACGGGACCAGGAGGAGGAACAGGAGGGACGGAGGAAGAGGAGGAACGGGAGGAAGAGCAGCAGCAUCAUUGCCCCCCGGACCCCGCGGGCUCCUCGGCUGCUCGGCGGGAGAACAGGAGAUCCCAGCGCCAGGGUUCCUCGGGAGGUGUCGGGGCUGGAAGGGGCGCCGGCUGCUCCGGCAGCACCAGCGGAGCGCUCAGCCCUCGCUGUGCCCCGCGCCGGGAUCGCCCCGCGCCGCAGCUCGGCCCCAGCGAGGAGGAGGAGGAGGCUGCGAGGAAGAGGAGCAGGGCCCGGGAGCCGCAGGCAGGUGAGGAGGAAGUCAGGGCGCCUUUGCCCGCUCUGUGCUGCUCCAUGUGCCAGCCCGGCCCUGGGGGCAUCUCCUGCUCCUGCCCUGUGGGGUGGGGCAAAUCCCGUCCUGAACUUGUGGGGCAAAUCCUGAACUUGUGGGGGCAAAUCCUGUCCUGAACUUGUGGGGCAAAUCCUGAACUUGUGGGGCAAAUCCUGUCCUUGUGGGGCAAAUCCCGUCCUGAACUUGUGGGGCAAAUCCCGUCCUGAGCUUGUGGGGCAAAUCCCUCCUGAACUUGUGGGGGCAAAUCCUGAACUUGUGGGGGCAAAUCCUGUCCUGAACUUGUGGGGGCAAAUCCUGUCCUGAAUUUGUGGGGGCAAAUCCUGAAUUUGUGGGGGCAAAUCCUGAACUUGUGGGGCAAAUCCUGAACUUGUGGGGCAAAUCCCGUCCUGAACUUGUGGGGCAAAUCCUGAACUUGUGGGGCAAAUCCUGAACUUGUGGGGGCAAAUCCCAUCCCGUCCUUGUGGGGCAAAUCCCGUCCUUGUGGGGCAAAUCCCGUCCUUGUGGGGCAAAUCCCAUCCUGAACUUGUGGGGCAAAUCCCAUCGUGUCCUUGUCCUCAUGGGAGCAAAUUAAUUGCGAAUUAAUUGAAGAAUACAUGAGCAUGAUUUUUCAUAGAGAGAUGUCUCAGGACAGGAUGGGAAAAACUCGGAAGAACAGCUUGGAAAAUCUCUUUGGAGAGACAACUCACUCUUAUUCAAGCUGCCUUUUAUUCAAGGAUCUCAGCGAGUUGAACUCUUCAAGCUCAUGGAGUCUCCCAAUUAAUUUGCAAUUAAUUUGCCUCCGUGAGGACAAGGACACGAUGGGAUUUGCCCCAUAAGUUCAAGGACAGGAUGGGAUUUGCCCCACAAGUUCAGGAUUUGCCCCACAAGGACAGGAUUUGCCCCACAAGGACAGGAUGGGAUUUGCCCCACAAGGACAGGAUGGGAUUUGCCCCACAAGUUCAGGAUUUGCCCCACAAGGACAAUCACACGAUGGAAAAACUCGGAAAAACAGCUUGGAAAAUCUCUUUGGGGAGACAACUCACUUUUAUUCACGCUGCCUCCCAGUCCCGUGGACUUUCGCAGGACAUCUUUUCAUGAACAAUCCUUUCCUUGGGAUUUUUCCUCCCGAGAAGCCGAGGGGCCUCAGGAACAAGAUGUAAACAUUGGUUAUCUGCUGCUGUGGAAUGCAGCAGGUGCGCCUGUGAUUGGCCCGUCUCGGAUGUUUAUAAUUAAUGGCCAAUGACAGGGAGCUGGCUGAGACACAGAGUCCGAGACAGAGCCUUUGUUAUCGUUCCUUUCUGUUCUUAGCUGAGCCAGCCUGCUGAUGGAAUAUCCUUUCUUCUGUUCUUUUGGUGCAGUUUUAAUGGCGUAGAGAUGAGAAAAUAAUAAUUCAAGCCUUCUGAAACGUGGAGUCGGAGCCUGCGUCUCUUCCCUCAACAUAAGAGCCCUGUGAGCACGGUCACGCCCAUCCUGAACUCGUGGGGCAAAUCCUGUCCUUGUGGGGGUAAAUCCCAUCCUGUCCUUGUGGGGCAAAUCCCAUCCUGUCCUUGUGGGGGUAAAUCCUGUCCUUGUGGGGCAAAUCCUGUCCUCGUGGGGGCAAAUCCCAUCCUGAACUCGUGGGGCAAAUCCUGUCCUUGUGGGGGCAAAUCCCAUCCUGUCCUUGUGGGGCAAAUCCUGUCCUUGUGGGGCAAAUCCUGUCCUUGUGGGGUGGGUAAAUCCUGUCCUUGUGGGGCAAAUCCUGUCCUUGUGGGGGCAAAUCCUGUCCUUGUGGGGCAAAUCCCAUCCUGUCCUUGUGGGGCAAAUCCUGUCCUUGUGGGGGUAAAUCCCAUCCUGUCCUUGUGGGGGUAAAUCCCAUCCUGUCCUUGUGGGGGUAAAUCCUGUCCUUGUGGGGUAAAUCCCUCCUUGUGGGGCAAAUCCUGUCCUUGUGGGGGUAAAUCCCUGUCCUUGUGGGGGUAAAUCCCAUUCUGUCCUUGUGGGGCAAAUCCCUGGGGGGGGGGUAAAUCCCAUUCUGUCCUUGUGGGGGUAAAUCCUGUCCUUGUGGGGGUAAAUCCUGUCCUUGUGGGGCAAAUCCCAUCCUGUCCUUGUGGGGCAAAUCCUGUCCUUGUGGGGCAAAUCCCAUCCUGUCCUUGUGGGGCAAAUCCUGUCCUUGUGGGGGUAAAUCCCAUCCUGUCCUUGUGGGGUAAAUCCUGUCCUUGUGGGGGUAAAUCCUGUCGUUGUGGGGCAAAUCCCAUUCUGUCCUUGUGGGGCAAAUCCUGUCCUUGUGGGGGCAAAUCCCAUCCACUUGGGGCAAAUCCCCUUGUGGGGCAAAUCCCAUCCUGAACUCGUGGGGCAAAUCCUGUCCUUGUGGGGGCAAAUCCCAUCCUGAACUCGUGGGGCAAAUCCUGUCCUUGUGGGGGUAAAUCCUGUCCUUGUGGGGCAAAUCCCAUCCUGUCCUUGUGGGGCAAAUCCCAUCCUGAACUUGUGGGGUAAAUCCUGUCCUUGUGGGGCAAAUCCCAAAUCCCAUACUGAACUUGUGGGGCAAAUCCCAAAUCCCAUCCUGUCCUUGUGGGGCAAAUCCCAUCCUGUCCUUGUGGGGCAAAUCCCAUCCUGUCCUUGUGGGGCAAAU
rnacentral:lncRNA from 1 species